CACCCCCCUAUAGUUUGAUCCUGGCUCAGGACGAACGCUGGCGGCGUGCUUAACACAUGCAAGUCGAGCGGUAAGGCCCUUCGGGGUACACGAGCGGCGAACGGGUGAGUAACACGUGAGCAACCUGCCCCUGACUCCGGGAUAAGCGGUGGAAACGCCGUCUAAUACCGGAUAUGACACGCCACCUCAUGGUGGUGUGUGGAAAGUUUUUCGGUCAGGGAUGGGCUCGCGGCCUAUCAGCUUGUUGGUGGGGUAAAGGCCUACCAAGGCGAUUACGGGUAGCCGGCCUGAGAGGGCGACCGGCCACACUGGGACUGAGACACGGCCCAGACUCCUGCGGGAGGCAGCAGUGGGGAAUAUUGCGCAAUGGGCGAAAGCCUGACGCAGCGACGCCGCGUGGGGGAUGACGGCCUUCGGGUUGUAAACCUCUUUUACCACCAACGCAGGCUCCCA
rnacentral:rRNA from 1 species